rnacentral:lncRNA from 1 species
AUAACCAAAGCUUUGGAUACCAUAUCAAACAUAUAGAAGGUGAAGUGGGACCAUAACAUAAUAUGGUACAUCCAUUUCUGAAUGACCACCAAACAUAAGUCUCCAACGUUUGGGAGCUCCAUCCACCCACGUCUGAGUGAAGUCAUAAGGGCCGGCAGAGCAUCACAGGCUCUAUGCAUAACUCCCUUCACCAUUUCUGGCAAAGGUUCACAAUAUCCCACAAACACCAGAGUACAAAAGGAUAGUAUGA